AGAGCAAGUUGGUACCUGGAAUCUCAAGUCCCAGGCAAGUUGUGCCCUUGAUCACUUCCUUUUACCCAGUCAUGUUCUAAUUAAUCAUAAUGAUCUGCAUAGGUUAAUUUUGAUGGGACCCAAUAGGUUACCCUAGUUUGACUAUCUUUAUACCUUGUUCACCACUGAAUCUUUGGGUAGUACCUGCUAUUGCUUUAUGUGGUUUUGGGUAUAGAGAUACAUAUUAUUCAUGAUUAUACUUUUAUUAUCAGUUGUUAUUUAUUGUUCAUGAUAAGACCAUUAUGUUAAUUGGAACAUGGAGAACCACCCGGAAAAACAGUGCUACCACAAGGGUUUAAUGGGACGCCCUUGGCUGAUUAAUUAGGAAAGCUAGUGAAUGACUACCUUACCCGAAAGGGGCAAGGGCAGUGUAGGGAGGCCCUUGGGAUGAUUUUGCUGCGAUGGCGGUCAUGCGAGGGAUUCCUGCAUUGGAGCUUCCUAUAAACUGUAGUGGGUUUUCUGAAGCUAGUGGAACUUUGUAAAGGCCUCGUAGUGUUACCCUGCCUCGCCUCCUCGGUAGAGGUGUAUGGGAUUGGUGGUCUCUUGGCAGAUGGGUAACAUGACUUGUGGGUAAAGAUGCGCAACCUCUGCAGAGUGUAAAACUGGUAUACUAGUCGUGCUCACGGUCAUGAGCAGCUCGGACACUCACAUGAUUAAUUUAUGGAACUAAAUUCAAUUUGUCAUAUGCAUUGCAUCGCAGGUGAUGUUGUUACUUUUGUUCUACUGUUUAAUUGGGUUGGUAUUUACUUAUAUUUAGUAAUUGCUAAUAAAAUUUUGACCAACUUUAAAAGCAAUGCUCAGCUCUAACCAUCCUCUUUGGUAAGCCUUACACUUCACGUGAGCUCCCACCUUUGGCGAGUUCAUGCACAUUAUUCCCCACAACUUGUUGAGCGAUGAACGUAUGUGAGCUCACUCUUGCUGUCUCACACCCCCCACAGGUCAAGAACAGGUACCACAGGAUGAGGCGCAUGGAGGAUGCUGUGAUGAGUUCGUGAGUGGUCUAGGUCGUCGUCUCCCAGUCAACUUCGGGUUGCUGGACCGUUGUCUCCAUAUAAUGUAAUUAUUUAUUUAUUUUGUACAAAAAUUCUGAUUAUAUAGUAAAGAUGUGACAUUCGAUCCUGUGCCAUGAUUCAUCAUAUGUGUGAGACUUGGUCCCAGCACACCUGGUGAUUAUGUUCGCGCCCGGGUCUUGGUGCCCUAAAACCCGGGUGUGACAGAAGUGGUAUCAGAGGAAUGUUGACUGUAGGACGGAACCUAGAUAGAACUGGACAACCAUUGUCUACUUACCUUUUCUACUCUGAUUCUUUCUAAACUUUUCUUAAUCUUUUCUCAUCUAUUUCCGCUGUACUCUGAUUACUCUUAAUUUUUCCUUCUAAAGACAAAUGUGGAUUUCACACUUUGAAAUCCUGUACCUAAAGUGACUUUUAGGAAUAGGAGACCUACCCUUAGGAACAAAAUCAAAACUAUUUUUGUAAAUAUUUGUAUGCCUGAAUGUUUGUUCUUAUGAUACUUGUCUGAUUUGGAUCUUUGAUUGAGUGUGAUGAGUUGUGGAGUAAUGUCCACAAUUGCAUCUGCAUAUACACAUAGGUGUGAAAAAAUAUUUAUAAAAUAACUAGACAACCUAGAUUAUCCCCAUUGGAAUAUAUCUAGCUUAAGAUAUUUAUCUUAUCCUAAAAGAUCCCAUUCUAACCAAUUCAUUUUAUCUUAAAAAGAUUUUAUCUCAUCUUAAUAGAUCUAACUGACCUCAAAAGAUUAUACCUUAUCCUUAUGAAUUCAUCUUGCCCUAAUCAGCAUAUUUAUCCCACUCUAGAAUAACAACCAUAAGCUAAUCCAAAAUUUAUUUAGAUCUUAAUUAGUCUAAUCUAGUCAUAUCCAACCUAAUCUAGAUUUUAUCUAAUCUAUUAUGAUCUAAUCUAGAGUAAGUUACUUAAUGCUGGUACAAAAGAUAAGGCCACACUCCUAAUUCACUAAGCCUAAAUUGGUAACUUAGAUCAACUCGGCCAUGCACAAUUACCUAACCCGCUUGAUAUGUUACCUAAAUUCACCUACUCCAAAAGCAAAGUAAACCUUAUUGGGCCUACCCAUCCCAAACAUCGACAACUAUCUUAACCGUAUGUCCUUGAUAUGGAUGGCGACUCCAAGGAUGAAGGCCAAAGAAGACCAAAACUCGUCAAGGAAGGAGAGAAGUCAAACUCGACCUUCAGAUGCAUUACCACCCAGCAUUGAGUUCUUUCUCACCGUAAACUUUCUUACCCCAAGCUAUUCUUGCCCUAACCUACCCAUCUUUUAUCCUACAUAAUAAAAUGACUAUACAUAUAGAUACUCAUGCUCUCCUAAUCACUCACUAAUGAAAAAAAGAGAGGUUUUUUUUAUUUUUGAAAUAAUUAGAAACUGAAAGUUAAAUUGCAAACCACUAUUCCUAUAUCCCUUUUCUUACAAAUCUCGAGGACGAGAUUUCUGUUAGGGGGGUAGAAUUUGUAACAACCUAAAAUUAUAUUCCUGGUAAAUUUGGAAAGAUUUCUCAAGAUCUAAAAUUCUUGUGUUUUGAAGCAAGGUAAUCGAUGAAAAGAACCUCUAGGGAUUUAAAUAAUUAAACAUUAAAUCUUAUGCUUUAAACUAUUCUCUAAAUAAUUAUACGAAAGUGUUGUCUCAUGAAUAUUUCAUGGUAAUAAACAUUUAAAUCUUGAAAUAAGUUAUUACUAACUCUAUUUAAUAGUACGAGAAGGGUACUUAAUUAUUUAAUUGUAUGAUUCAUUCUUUGUGUUGAAGCAUGUUUAUUUAGAGAAAUAGGAAUAAUAAAUAAAUAUACUUUGCAUCAUAUUGGAAUUUUGAAUGUGCAUUUAGAAUUUGUUUAAAUUUAAAUUUGAAUUUGAACUUUAUGAACUCAGCCAAAAACAAGGAAUAAGUAGUAAAAAAUAUAUUCAUAAAUAUAUAUUGCAUAUCAUGUUGGGAUUAAUUGUUUGUUUCAUUUAUAUUUGAAGUGCUAAACUCAAACAAGAAUUCAAAUUUGAGUUCAAAGUGAAAAUGAAAAUAGAAAGAAAAAAAAAGAAAUACCUGCGCUUGGGCCAAUUUUCUCCUCGUCCCAGGAUUCCUCCGCGUCGGCCCACACCUCGUUCUCCCCGUGCGGCCCAUCUCCCCUGGCGUGCGCACUCCCUGGACCGGUGGGGCCCUAACGUCAGCCACACUAUGCAUAUCAGGCACCCAUUCAGUGUGGACAACCGGGUGCGCACUAGCCCACAUUCCUUCAACCGCUGCCAUGUGGGGCCCGCAAUCCAUCCUCACUCCCCCUUGCUCCCAACGUGGCCAUGGCUCUAACGGUGGGUCCCAGCUGACAGUGUUAUCUUCUCCCCCGUGACGAUCUCCAACCAAAUGUGCGACUUCCACGGGCGCCUCAACCAAACUCCACUCAAAUUUCUCGUUGUGAACCAACAACAUUCACUCGGACUUCCCCUCCUCCUGUGCAUAAAAGCCGAUGCUACGCGGCUUCCUCCUCCUGCAGCUCGGCGUGCUGAACGCCAUCUCUAGCGCGUGCCCCCUUCUCUGCUCUCAGACCCGAUGCCCGCGCAGCACCAUGACCCACGCUUCGUCGUCGACUAACCCUGCUCGUGCGACAGCCCCUGCACGGCGGUCGCCCAGCCCUCACCUCCAGCAGCCUCUGCUCUUGCGUGACUCAGCCAUGCCCACGCCGACGUGCUCGCCUCGGGACCUUCGCGGGAGCUCGUGCCGCUGGGUAGCAGAGGUAUCCGACCGCCGCCAUGGGCGAUUCGUGCCCAAGAUGCCGGUCCGGCCUCAAGAUGAGAACAGGGGGGUCGCCGGAGCAUGUUAUGUCGAUCUGGGUCCUGGUGGGGCGAAAAUCGUAACUGGUGGAGCAUGGAUUUCUCACUGCAACGUCACCACCUCCUUCGAUUUACUUUGCGCCAUGGGCGGAACCAUCCUCGCCCCAACCAGAGGUACAGAUCCGACCGCGAAGUUCAUUGCCAACUUCUCUCCGUGCAGAACCGAUGGGAUUUUGGGUUGGGGCGCUAUCUCGGCCAGCGCCGGCGAGCGUGCCGCCGUAGAAGGGCCUGUACGCCACCACGCUGCUGGUUGGGGAAGGAAGGAGGCACUUGUGUCGUUGGAUCGGUUUCCAUCGGAUGAGAUUAGAUCGUGACCGAUUCGUUUCGAGCCGUUGAUCCAUCCACGGGCGUCCACGAUUGACGAUCCCAUACCCUUACGCUAUUUAAGAUCUUGACCGUUGAUCGGUAGAUGUGCGAUCGACGCUCGAUCAGGGCAUGGAGGGCUUAGGACCACUGAUCCAUGAUCCUGUGAUCCACGUUGCUUACCAUUUCGUUAUAAUACGUAAUCUAAUAUGGGCCACUGAUGGGGAAUCCAACGGCUCUGAUUAUAGGAUACCCCUUCGGCCAUGCCAUUAUGCAAAAGAGACCCUGGGGUUUCCUAAAACUAACCCGCCAUCCACUAGGACACAAAGACAGUAUCAGAUCGGUCCUAGACUUUAUGAGUUAGACCCUGGGCUUUAUUAAAAUAGUGUGCUCAGUCCAGAGCUUUGAGAAAAUAUGAAAAAUAAUUUAGAAAAUGGAUUUCUAUUGCCAAAAUAAUUCUAGAACUUAUAUAACUCAUAGAAAAUUAAUCUUAGCUCCUUUUUAAUUCAUUCCAGUUGCAUUGAAUUCAUUUUAAUAUUGUUUAUCAUCUAGUAACCUGAUUUUGCUAUGAAAUUUAGAAUUGAAAUUAUGCACUUAGUUUCUUUUAUCCAACACUUUAAACGUCGGAAAUCCAUAACUUAAUAACCAUAACUCUGAAUUUAGUGAUUCUUGAACCCAUGAUCUCAUAGAAGCGCGUAGAAUAUUCUUACACAGUUUAUUCUUAUGUUUGGUGUAAUGUUAAUUUUUGCCUAUACCAUGUUUGUCUGUAUUGCUACGUUUAGCAGUGAGGACACGUGUCAUCUAAAGAGCAAGUUGGUACCUGGAAUCUCAAGUCCCAGGCAAGUUGUGCCCUUAAUCACUUCCUUUUACCCAGUCAUGUUCUAAUUAAUCAUAAUGAUCUGCAUAGGUUAAUUUUGAUGGGACCCAAUAGGUUACCCUAGUUUGACUAUCUUUAUACCUUGUUCACCACUGAAUCUUUGGGUAGUACCUGCUAUUGCUUUAUGUGGUUUUGGGUAUAGAGAUACAUAUUAUUCAUGAUUAUACUUUUAUUAUCAGUUGUUAUUUAUUGUUCAUGAUAAGAUCAUUAUGUUAAUUGGAACAUGGAGAACCACCCGGGAAAACAGUGCUACCACAAGGGUUUAAUGGGACGCCCUUGGCUGAUUAAUUAGGAAAGCUAGUGGAUGACUACCUUACCCGAAAGGGGCAAGGGCAGUAGGGGAGUGGUCAGUGUAG
rnacentral:lncRNA from 1 species